rnacentral:rRNA from 1 species
UACGUAGGGUGCGAGCGUUGUUCGGAAUUACUGGGCGUAAAGCGCGCGCAGGCGGUUUUGUAAGUUUGUCGUGAAAUCCCCGGGCUCAACCUGGGAAUUGCGAUGAAGACUGCAAGGCUGGAGUCUGGCAGAGGGGGGUAGAAUUCCACGUGUAGCAGUGAAAUGCGUAGAGAUGUGGAGGAACACCGAUGGCGAAGGCAGCCCCCUGGGUCAAGACUGACGCUCAUGCACGAAAGCGUGGGGAGCAAACGGG